CUGGUUGAUCCUGCCAGUAGUCAUAUGCUUGUCUCAAAGAUUAAGCCAUGCAUGUCUAAGCACAUGCCUUAAUACGGUGAAGCCGCGAAUAGCUCAUUACAACAGCCACCGUUUACUAGAAUAUAGUUAUCCUACUUGGAUAACUGUGGCAAUUCUAGAGCUAAUACAUGCAAAAAAGCUCCGCCCGCAAGGAACGAGCGCAUUUAUUAGAAUAAAAACCAAUCGGGUUUCGGCCCGUAAUUUGGUGAAUCUGAAUAACUUUGCCAAUCGCACAGUCCUAGUACUGGCGAUGUAUCUUUCAAGUGUCUGCCUUAUCAACUUUCGAUGGUAGGUUAUACGCCUACCAUGGUAGUAACGGGUAACGGAGAAUAAGGGUUCGACUCCGGAGAGGGAGCCUGAGAAACGGCUACCACAUCCAAGGAAGGCAGCAGGCGCGCAAAUUACCCACUUCCAGAACGGAGAGGUAGUGACGAAAAAUAACGAGACAGUCCUCUUCGAGGUCUGUCAUCGGAAUGGGUACAAUUUAAAUCCUUUAACGAGGAUCUAUUGGAGGGCAAGUCUGGU
rnacentral:rRNA from 1 species